rnacentral:rRNA from 1 species
UGAGGCACGAAAGCGUGGGGAGCAAACAGGAUUAGAUACCCUGGUAGUCCACGCAGUAAACGAUGAUAACUCGUUGUCGGCGAUACACAGUCGGUGACUAAGCGAAAGCGAUAAGUUAUCCACCUGGGGAGUACGUUCGCAAGAAUGAAACUCAAAGGAAUUGACGGGGGCCCGCACAAGCGGAGGACAUGUGGUUUAAUUCGAUGAUACGCGAGGAACCUUACCCGGGCUUGAAAGUUAGCGACGAUUCUUGAAAGAGGAUUUCCCUUCGGGGCGCGAAACUAGGUGCUGCAUGGUUGUCGUCAGCUCGUGCCGUGAGGUGUCGGGUUAAGUCCCAUAACGAGCGCAACCCCUACCGUUAGUUGCCAUCAGGUGAAGCUGGGCACUCUGGCGGGACUGCCGGUGUAAGCCGAGAGGAAGGUGGGGAUGACGUCAAAUCAGCACGGCCCUUACGUCCGGGGGUACACACGUGUUACAAUGGUAGGUACAGAGGGCAGCUACCCAGCGAUGGGAUGCGAAUCUCGAAAGCCUAUCUCAGUUCGGAUUGGAGGCUGAAACCCGCCUCCAUGAAGUUGGAUUCGCUAGUAAUCGCGCAUCAGCCAUGGCGCGGUGAAUAAAAAGCCGGGCCUUGCACA